GUCGGAGCAGAAACUCCUGUCGGACAACAUCUCCAGGACUCUACGCUCUAUUAGACUAAGAACUGCAGUGUGCCAAAGUGGACAUUUAUCUGGACUCCUGGCCUCACCCCUAUCAACAAAUGCCCACAGCAGCCCCAGAUUCAACCACCCACUGCCACCACCACCGCUGCCUCCAUCCUACAGCGCAAUGGCAACUGCACCGGUGCUCGCUCGCACCACCCGACGAAAGACAAGCACCUGCCCCUGCAACAACUUCAAUGGCAUUGAGAUCAUCCAGACCAUCUGCCACCAGCGACGGCAUGAGAGUGAUGAAAUACUCCACGACUGGAGUCAGCACCAGAUCUAAAGCUCAUGAGAGAGUGACAAUGCAGCCUGACAGUCUGGAUGAAAUGAACUGGAGGAAAGAGGAGAGCACGUUGGAGCUUUCCCCAUGAUUCAAGUGGCUGGGCUGAACAGAACUCCGAUGGUUUUUCGUCCAUGGAACGAGAAAGGCUUGAAAGAGGCUAUGACACACUUGCCUCACCCUAGAGACUCUGUAGAAAAGUUUGCAAAGGACAUGGACAAGUUCUGUCAAGAAUUUAGCCUCACCAUGCAAGAAUUGAAAUGUUUGCUUAUGCUCAAAUUGGGGGCAACAGACUGGCACAAGAUACGCCCACAUUUCACCACAAGCAACGUCCAGAGGAAGAUCGCAGACUGAAAUCACACAGACAACGAGGCAUAUCAUCAGGCAGUGGAAACACUGUGUCAACGGAUCAAGACUAGUUUUCCAGUCAGGGUGAACACCACCAAAAUCAACUACUGCUUGCAACAGAGAAAUGAGUCUGUUGACGACUAUUAUGUGCCUUUAUAUGAAACAUUUAACAAUUACAGUGGAAUACCAGAACCGGAUAAACAUGGAGAAGUUCCACAGAUGUGGGAAUCUCAUCUGCAAAGCAGCGUUAUGAGUGUACUGAAACCUGAAAUAGCUGCAAUCAUCAGACAAUCCUGCAUCUGAUUGGAGGACGAGAAACUGGAAAGGGAUAAGACAGCAUGCCCUCCAUGCUGAAAGACUGCUGGAAGAGAGAGCAAGGAAGAAAAAAGGAGAAAGAGCUUCAGCAGACAGUUCUUACGAUAUAUAAAGGCCCACCAAGACAAGGUAUGAAUUACAGGGGCCGAGGACAGGGGCGCGGGGAUAGGCAGAGGACAGAGAUUGUCUCAGAUCGACCCAGACCUUUUUUUUUUCUCUGCGGAGAGAAAGGACACUGGAAGAUGGAUUGCCCAGCUUUGACGGAUUGACAAUAGAGACUUUCACAGCAGAAAGUCAGAGAAGGAGGAGGAGUUGGGAGCAAAGUCUACCAAGACCACGCAGCACAAAACAGAUAAGACUGAAGCACCACACAUAGUCUAUCUAAUCCAGCUAACUGCAAGGAAGAAAAAAUAUGCUUGCUUAUGUUUCCGCUCAUAGCAUCAUUUGGAAUAAAAAUUAAACAUAUGAACAGAAAA